ensembl:lncRNA
GACAGGAGUGUCACUCCGGAAGCCUUUAUUUUGAUGUUGUUUUGUAUAUCCUGCAUUAAAACCUAGAGAGAGAGGAACCUAGAGAGUUCCAGAGAGGAAUAGGUCUACGUCUGAGGUCUGUUUGAGUAAGGACUAAGGCAGGAAUCUGAGAUUUGGACUGCCAUGAAGGGAAAAGAGUACCAGCACUGAGAAAAUUAUAGAAGCACAGGACAGCUGAGGCUGGCAGGGCCCUCUGGGUCCCUCUGCUCCAACCCCUGACCCAGCAGGGACACCCAGAGCAGGGUGCCCAGGGCCACGUCCAGGUGGCUCUGGGAGAUCCCCAAGGAGGCAGAUUCCAUAAAUAAGCAUUACUGCACUAACUGUGUUGGUGUCCAUGUGUUUUAUAUUUAUCUGGUAUUUGGGGCAGGUGAGUACCCCGGGUGUCACACGAAAUCUCCCCACCACCAGUCAGAUGCAAUCCCCAUGCAUCACUCACAACACCAUUGGGCAGAGAUGUUCCCAGAUGUGGACAGGGACCACCUUCCCCAAAGCCACGUUUAGCAACCCCCAGGGGCACAGUAGUAUUAAAAAUACUAUUGCACACAAGAAUGUGGGAGAGCCCUGAGAGAGCAGAACUGUAACCAUGGGUGCAUUACUAACGCCUCACUCCUACACAGGCCAGAUCUUACUCAGCAAACACGGUAUUCACACAGGCAGCUCACUCAACAAAGCUGGAAAAAGCUCUUACAGCUACGAGAAGAACUCGUGUAAUUUCCAUGGCUGUGAAUCAGGACGUCUUCAUUCUUGUGGCAUGUUUUUCACUUUUAUGAACACUAAUUUCGCUGCAUUUUCGGAGCGGUGACUUUAGCCACAGCGUGGCUGCUGCGAAGUUCCCACGGCUACCAGUAGGACUUUUAUGUGGGAAAUCUGUGGGCAGCAGGGAGCCUCCCUGCUUGUAUCAAUAGGAACUUCCCAAGCGCCUCAGACUGACAUUUUCUCAGCCCGGGAUCGGAGCACACAUGCUCUCAUUUAGAGCUCCCUUCUCCGAAGCUGAAGGACAUGUGUGAUCAUUUUAGCUCCGGCAAUUUUCUAGCAGGCCUUUUGCACACAGAGGAAUCCUGCGCAAAUGGGUUUUUUCCUCUUCAGCCAGCAGAAACCCCAUCCUGCAAACUGCUGAGCAGGGCACCGAGGGGUGAACACAGGAGAUGCCAGCCAGGGCCACGUUGACCCCAGGCCCCCAUCAUGUUGAAGACCACGGAGGAAGCAUAUCAGAGUCCUACCAGUGUGGAUGCUGCAUUGCAGACCUCCCCUCACAAACUUUCUGAAUUUUGGGGUGCACAGAGCAUCCUUCCAGUGUGCCUCAACACCACAGAGACAUCAGUUUUCCAUCUUUCUAUGCGUCUGCUGGGGCUGUCAGGCCACCACCAGCAGUCAUCCUGUCCCACAAGAGUUUCCCAGCCUUUCGCAUCACAGCCAUGCAUUCCAGAGAUGACCAGACACAUAAAUACGUCUUCUGUGCUUGCACACUGGAAGACUUUCUGCAGCUGGAUAAUAAGAGCAUGUUAAAAGCAUAUAUAUUGUCUCCACCAGUCAAAAAAAAAAAAAGAAAAGAAAAGAAAAGAAAAAAAAGGUUGAAUUUUUGUUCUCAGAAGACAGAAAUGCAGUGGGAGGGCAACGGGCAAGUUGUACAGCUUUGGAUUUAUUAAAGAUAAUAUAUUGCAGGGAAAAAUCAGCUGUGGUGGGACACUGUGUUUACUGGAUGUUUAGAGAAGACCACACAACCCACAAACACGACAGGACCACGCUCAAUGAUCGUAUCUCACUAUCGCUUCCUAUUUGCAGAACUGUAAUUGUGGGAAUUCUUAAGGUCCAUAAUCACUAAAAAUGGAUAUCUGAACUCAGAAACCAGGGAGGCAGAAGCCCUCAAGGAAUUGUUUUCCACUUCGGUAAAAACAAAAAGGCUGAAUUCUUUGUCAAUGAGAGAUGGCCCAGUUUUGCAGCUUUAGGUUUGGUAGAAGAAACACCUGGCUGCCUAUCAGUAACAGGGCAGAGUCUGAUGAGAACAGAGGACAGAGAUUGUCACUCAUUUAUCAUGUGUAAGGAUUUCAUUGAUGCACGUCAUUCCAGUGCAAACUGGUAAUAACUGCUCAGGGUUGCCCAGAGGAGCUGUGAAUGCCGCAGUCCUGGAGGUGUGAGGUCACCUGGAGGCCAGGUGAGACGGGGCUUUGGGCAUCUGGUCUGGUGGGAGGUGUCCCUGCUACAUGUAGCUCAGAGGGUUUGAAAUGGAAAAGAAAUGGGAAUAUGUUUGCUGUUGUUGCAGCCAGAAUAGGCAAGGUGUAAGUGUGGUGAGAUCUGUGGCAGAAGCUAGUAUCUUCCUCCAACAAGAUAUAAUGGGGGGAAAAGAAGUAGUAAUAACCUUUCUCCAGCUCCAAACUAUCAUCUCUCCAUAUCCUGAUGGCAUUUGAUAAGCUUUCAGCAUAAAUCAGAAAGAAAAAUAUGUAGACAUUGCUGCUAUGGCAAAAAUUCUGCUAUUCACCAGCGGCUGGUGCAAGAAUACCAAAAUGUUUUCUCUGAUGUUGUCAAGCAGCCCAGUUCUGUAAAGUGGUUCCAGUGUUUGUGUGUGCACAUCUAUGCCUUUCCCCUUUAGAAAGCUGCUAAACACCUUGUCCAGGCAAGCUAAAUGCAAAAGAGGUCUCAAAGUGAUUCUUUUCUAAAAUCUGUGUGAAAAUAAUCAACAGAACAGGAGAAAAUAAACACAUGAUGUCUACAGGCACCCCAAUUGACAGCAGGGCUGUGGUGUGAACCAAUGUCAUUAUGUUACCAAGAUCACUGCAGGGGGAAGGAGCCAUAAUGUUUCAACACAGAGAAUGGCAUCAACAACAGCUUGUGCUCAGCCAUUAUACAAACCCAUGGCACUCCAGUAGUCGUGAUGUUUGAGCAAUCCCUUAUCGUCAUGAAGAGCACGUUCACAGAAUCACUGAAUCAUUAUGGUUGGAAAAGACCACUGCCUGGUCCAACCAUCAACCCAUCACCACCAUGGCCACUAAGCCAUGUCACUCGUGUCCAGAGUAUGGAGCUGGAGAUGGGGUUUUGCUGGUGAGAGGAGCUAAAAAAUGAGAAAUGUGCCAAAGAAAAUGAGGAAGCAGCAAAAAUGAGAUAAAAGAUGGAAGAGAGCAGAAGGUCAACAGGUUGGUCUCUGCAAAACUUGUAAAGGUUUCUUGGUGUCGAGUCAUGUGAAGGGAAAGUGGGUGGCUCUUGAGACACAGUAAAAAUGAGAAUUAACUCACCUACUAAAUUCUCAGUCAUCUUCCUCUUACAACCACUGCCAGGAAGUCUGAUUAAUCAGUCUAAGCUUAAAUAGAACAAAAAAAGAGAAAAUACUAUGCAGUGUGACUGGUCCAUGAGGAAACCAUGAAUUUGCUCUUUUAGUAAUUAAAAGUGACCCAGCAGGUUUUCCAGAGCAAUCAUCUCUCAUUCGGAGAAUAAAAUGUUCUCC